rnacentral:rRNA from 1 species
AGAGUUUGAUCCUGGCUCAGAUUGAACGCUGGCGGCAUGCCUAACACAUGCAAGUCGGACGGAAACGAUGGAAGCUUGCUUCCAGGCGUCGAGUGGCGGACGGGUGAGUAAUACUUAGGAAUCUACCCAGUAGCGGGGGGCAACUCGAGGAAACUCGAGCUAAUACCGCAUACGCCCUACGGGGGAAAGCAGGGGAUCUUCGGACCUUGCACUAUUGGAUGAGCCUAAGUCAGAUUAGCUUGUUGGUGAGGUAAAGGCUCACCAAGGCGACGAUCCGUAGCUGGUCUGAGAGGACGAUCAGCCACACUGGGACUGAGACACGGCCCAGACUCCUACGGGAGGCAGCAGUGGGGAAUAUUGGACAAUGGGGGAAACCCUGAUCCAGCAAUGCCGCGUGUGUGAAGAAGGCCUGCGGGUUGUAAAGCACUUUCAGUAGAGAAGAAAAGCCUAGGGAUAAUACCCCUGGGUCUUGACGUUAACUACAGAAGAAGCUCCGGCUAACUCCGUGCCAGCAGCCGCGGUAAUACGGAGGGAGCGAGCGUUAAUCGGAAUUACUGGGCGUAAAGCGCGCGUAGGCGGCUUUGUAAGUCGGAUGUGAAAGCCCUGGGCUCAACCUGGGAAUUGCAUUCGAUACUGCAUGGCUAGAGCAUGGUAGAGGGAAGUGGAAUUUCCGGUGUAGCGGUGAAAUGCGUAGAUAUCGGAAGGAACACCGGUGGCGAAGGCGACUUCCUGGGCCAAUACUGACGCUGAGGCGCGAAAGCGUGGGUAGCAAACAGGAUUAGAUACCCUGGUAGUCCACGCCGUAAACGAUGAGAACUAGAUGUCGGGGGAAUUUGUCCUUCGGUGUCGCAGCUAACGCGUUAAGUUCUCCGCCUGGGGAGUACGCCGGCAACGGUAAAACUCAAAGGAAUCGACGGGGACCCGCACAAGCGGUGGAGCAUGUGGUUUAAUUCGAUGCAACGCGAAGAACCUUACCUGCCCUUGACAUUGACAGAAUCCCGUAGAGAUAUGGGAGUGCUUCGGCCUGGAAAACAGGUGCUGCAUGGCUGUCGUCAGCUCGUGUUGUGAGAUGUUGGGUUAAGUCCCGCAACGAGCGCAACCCUUGUCCUUAGUUGCCAGCACGUAAUGGUGGGAACUCUAGGGAGACUGCCGGUGACAAACCGGAGGAAGGUGGGGACGACGUCAAGUCAUCAUGGCCCUUAUGGGCAGGGCUACACACGUGCUACAAUGGCGAAUACAGAGGGUUGCCAACCAGCAAUGGUGCGCUAAUCCCUUAAAGCUCGUCGUAGUCCGGAUUGGAGUCUGCAACUCGACUCCAUGAAGUCGGAACCGCUAGUAAUCGCGAAUCAGAAUGUCGCGGUGAAUACGUUCCCGGGUCUUGUACACACCGCCCGUCACACCAUGGAAGUAGGUUGCACCAGAAGUAGGUAGUCUAACCCUCGGGAGGACGCUUACCACGGUGUGGCUUAUGACUGGGGUGAAGUCGUAACAAGGUA